ensembl:lncRNA
GGGCACUGCGUCAUCAUCAAUGGCGGAAGUAUCAGAGGUGUUAAGAGGAGCUUCGUCAGGUGACAAUCCAAGCACCAGUGGGCCUUCCGUAAUCCAGAGCCAUACAGCUGACUGGAAUUCAGAUAUAGCGCCAGAAACACUAAGGGAUAGCGCUUUUGGAGACUGUUUGACAGUGGAUGUGAAAAUAGCAGGGGUGCUCACCAAAUGCUUGUUGGACACCGGUUCAGAGGUUACCACCAUCUCAGAGUCUCACUUUAAACAUCAUUUCGGAGGACAAGAGAUACAGCUGGCGUCUGCUAACUGGGUGCGCCUCACUGCUGCAAACGGACUAGACAUUCAUGUCCUUGGAUGUCUACAGGCAGACAUAGAGUGCAUGGGAAAGCUGCUUCCAGGGAAGUGUGUUUUUGUGCUAACAGACUCAAACCCCGAUGUGAAGGAGAUGAAGGGAUUGGCUGGAAUUGUGGGGAUGAAUGUGCUUAGUGAAUUGAAAAACCUUUUGCUGUCUGGAAAGGAUUUGGAUAAGGAGAGCAAAGUGAGCCAAUGUGCAGAUGCUAAUGUCAGACGAGUGAUAGCCAAAGUGAAAAAAGAUGAAAGACUCGUGGGCCCAGAGGGAAGGAUAGGAUUCUUUAAGGUGUCUGGGAAGCAAGUUGUGAUAAUCCCACCCUUAAGUGAGAAGAUUGUGGAAGGCCACUGCAGUAUACCUCAUCAAGUAAAGCAUCACGUAUUGGUGGAGUGCACAGGUUCUGUUACCCUUCCAAAAGGAUUGUUAGUAGCCAAUGUGCUUGCAAGCCCAGAAAAGGGGAAAGUUCCGGUGCGAGUGUUAAAUCUCUGCCAAGAAACCGUCAGGUUAAUGCCGAGAUCCAGGAUUGCAGUUGUGUCUAGGCCUCAAAAAGUAGUUCCAAAGCAAAUGGUGGAAUUUGAAGAGGAUGAUGAUGAGUUGCGUGUUAAACAACAUGUACAGUGCAGCAUUAAGAGUGAGAGCCAGCCCGAACAAUUGUCAAUUCCAGUUCAGAUGAAUCAGGACGGACUGUCUGAGAUGCAAUGGGAGGAGCUAAAUGCCCUACUGAGACGUUACAGUGAUGUUUUCUCCAAGAAUGACACAGAUUAUGGAUACACAACAACAGUGACACAUAGCAUACCUACUGGAGAUGCUCAGCCAAUAAAACAAUGCCAUCGACGAGUCCCACCUCACGUUUUUCAAGAGUUUAAGAGACAUGUGCAGGAUCUUGUCAGUCAAGGUGUACUGAACGAAAGUCGCAGUCCGUGGGCCUCGCCUGCAGUCAUUGUGAUAAAAAAGACGGAGGUGUUCGUUUCUGCUGCGACUACAGGAGACUCAACCAAGUCACAUUUAAGGAUGCCUACCCCCUUCCGCGUGUGGAGGAAUCCUUGGAUGCUUUGGGGAAUGCACAGUUGUUUUCCACACUGGAUCUCACGGCAGGUUAUUUUCAAGUGGCGGUAAAUGAAUCAGAUCGGGAGAAGACUGCUGUCACAACUCUGUUCGGGUUGUUUGAGUGGACACGGAUGCCGUUUGGUUUAUGCAAUGCUCCGGCCACCUUUCAGCGAUUAAUGAGUGCAGCAUUAGGUGAUCUGGCCUUUGACGUUCUCUUGAUCUAUCUUGACGAUAUAAUUGUGUUCUCUGUGGAUUUCAAGAGCCAUUGUGAGAAGUUGGAGCUUGUGUUUUCAAGGUUGCGUCAGCACGGACUGAAGCUGAAACCAAGUAAAUGUUUCCUUCUGAGACCAGAGGUCCGGUUCUUGGGACACAUCAUUUCGUCAAAGGGAGUUCAAGUGGACAAGGACAAGGUUCAGUGCUUGGAUGCGUGGCCUUCACCGAAGAAUGUUAGAGAGGUCAGACAGCUGCUGGGAUUUAUGAGUUACUAUCGUCGGUUUGUCCCAAGAUUCGCACAGCUGGCAAAGCCCCUACAUGCCCUGGUGGGAAAAGGUAACACAGGCAAGUCAGCAGAACCGUUUAUCUGGAGUGAUGAGUGUCAGUCCGCAUUCAGCAAGCUAAAGAGUUGUCUCAUGUCACCUCCGAUUCUGGCUUAUCCUGAUUUUCAGUGUCCGUUCAUACUCACGACUGAUGGGAGCCUCAAUGGACUUGGAGCAAUACUCAGUCAAAAGCAGGGGGGCGUUGAACGUGUCACUGCUUACGUGAGCAGAGGUCUAAAGGGAUUUGAAAGAAAUGACAAGUAUUACAGUGUCUUCAAGUUGGAGUUACUUGCCCUUAAAUGGGCAGUAACGGAGAAAUUUAAGGAAUACCUGAUAUUUGCUAAAUUUCAGGUUAUUACUGACCACAACCCUCUUCGCUACCUGGAGACAGCCAACCUCGGAGCAGUGGAACAGCGUUGGUCUGCACAGUUAGCAGAGUUCAACUUUGAGGUGUGUUACAAGCCCGGCAGACAGAACAUCAAUGCUGAUGUUCUUUCGAGGAUUCCCUGGAGUAUGGAACCCGAGGAGGAUGACAAUGGAAA